rnacentral:rRNA from 1 species
AUUGAACGCUGGCGGCAGGCCUAACACAUGCAAGUCGAGCGGAUGAAGGGAGCUUGCUCCUGGAUUCAGCGGCGGACGGGUGAGUAAUGCCUAGGAAUCUGCCUGGUAGUGGGGGAUAACGUCUGGAAACGGGCGCUAAUACCGCAUACGUCCUGAGGGAGAAAGUGGGGGAUCUUCGGACCUCACGCUAUCAGAUGAGCCUAGGUCGGAUUAGCUAGUUGGUGGGGUAAAGGCCUACCAAGGCGACGAUCCGUAACUGGUCUGAGAGGAUGAUCAGUCACACUGGAACUGAGACACGGUCCAGACUCCUACGGGAGGCAGCAGUGGGGAAUAUUGGACAAUGGGCGAAAGCCUGAUCCAGCCAUGCCGCGUGUGUGAAGAAGGUCUUCGGAUUGUAAAGCACUUUAAGUUGGGGGGAAGGGCAGUAAGUUAAUACCUUGCUGUUUUGACGUUACCAACAGAAUAAGCACCGGCUAACUUCGUG